GAUGAACGCUGGCGGCGUGCCUAAUACAUGCAAGUCGAGCGAACAGAUGAGGAGCUUGCUCCUCUGACGUUAGCGGCGGACGGGUGAGUAACACGUGGAUAACCUACCUAUAAGACUGGGAUAACUUCGGGAAACCGGAGCUAAUACCGGAUAAUAUAUUGAACCGCAUGGUUCAAUAGUGAAAGACGGUUUUGCUGUCACUUAUAGAUGGAUCCGCGCCGCAUUAGCUAGUUGGUUAGGUAACGGCUUACCAAGGCAACGAUGCGUAGCCGACCUGAGAGGGUGAUCGGCCACACUGGAACUGAGACACGGUCCAGACUCCUACGGGAGGCAGCAGUAGGGAAUCUUCCGAAAUGGGCGAAAGCCUGACGGAGCAACGCCGCGUGAGUGAUGAAGGUCUUCGGAUCGUAAAACUCUGUUAUUAGGGAAGAACAAAUGUGUAAGUAACUAUGCACGUCUUGACGGUACCUAAUCAGAAAGCCACGGCUAACUACGUG
rnacentral:rRNA from 1 species